rnacentral:sRNA from 1 species
CGUGCGUCUGCCCACCAAGGACUUUGAGGUGGACCUGCUAGAAAUUGGGGGCAGCCAGAACCUACGCUUCUACUGGAAGGAGUUUGUGAGCGAGGUGGAUGUGCUGGUGUUUGUGGUGGACUCGGCUGACCGACUGCGGCUGCCCUGGGCCCGACAGGAGCUGCACAAGCUGCUGGACAAGGACCCUGACCUGCCUGUCGUCGUGGUGGCCAACAAGCAGGUGAGGGCUGUGAGAGGGCAGCUCGGUCCAGGCGACGUCCACUCAGAGAUGAUUGGGCAGGGGCAAGGAGCGCUGCCUGGGCCCAUGGCCUGGAGAGGGUGGCUGAGAUGCUGCCCCCACCUCUUCUACCUAUGCCCUGUCCUGA